ACCUCAUAAUCUACUGUGAAUGAAAGGCCAUAAUAAAAGUCCUGAUGAAGACAUUUCCCCCAAGCCUACAAUUUUCUUUCCUUCAAUUGCUGAAAUAAAACUCUGUAAGGCUGGAACAUAUCUUUGUCUACUUGAAGAUUUUUUCCCUGAUGUUUUCAAGAUAGAUUGGAAAGAAAAGGAUGGCAAAACAAUUCUAAAAUCCCAGCAGGGAGACACCAUGAAGACUAACGACACAUACAUGAAAUUCAGCUGGCUGACAGUGACUGGAGCAUCAAUGGAUAAAGAACACAAAUGUAUUGUCAAACACGAGCAGGAUAAAGGAAAUGUUGAUCAAGAGAUUCUUUUUCCUUCAAUAAACAAAGAUUUGUUGCCAGCACUGGAAUAUGAAGUAGACUCCCAGGGACAUUCAGAGACAAAGCAAAACAAAGAGGUGUUAACUGUGAGCCCUUUGAGUUCAGCAUUCUCACUUAUUCCAAGGGCUGUGGAGCUUUCUGCUAUUAACGCCACAAAAGCUUCUCUGAAUGAUGAAAAUGACACCCUGCAGCUGCAGCUCAUGAACACAUCUGCCUACUACACCUACCUCCUCCUCUUCCUGAAGAGCCUGGUCUACUCCAUCAUCAUCACCGUCUCUCUGCUUGGGAGACCAGCACUCUAUAGCAAUGGGAAGAGUUCCCAACACAUGGUGGCACAAGGUUCUACUUUUUCCCAUUGGCUAUUGUCCCUAAAAGUCUCUGCUGAGGAUCAAGUGGGGUUUUCUUUCUGAAACUAGGUUAUUUCCAUUCUCAUGUGUCUUUUUCUACUGCAUCAUUAUUGCAGAACUGAUUUACACACCACUGGGCAAACAGAAGCUUUCACUUUGCAGCUAGAACAAAUUCUGCCAUGACUCAGGGUGGGGCCAUGUGGUUUCAACACUGCUGUCUCCUUAAUGUCCACCAGCUCCUCAGCCACCCAGUCCCCAUGCUUCUGAGUACAGCCAGCAUGCAGUCUCUUGGACUUUUUAACAAGAUGAUUACCUGGAAACUUUUUAUUUUACAUACCUUGAAAC